UACGAAGGGGGCUAGCGUUGUUCGGAAUUACUGGGCGUAAAGCGCGCGUAGGCGGCUUUGCAAGUCGAGUGUGAAAUCCCCAGGCUUAACCUGGGAACUGCAUUCGAGACUGCAUGGCUAGAGUAUGGGAGAGGGAAGUGGAAUUUCAGGUGUAGCGGUGAAAUGCGUAGAUAUCUGAAGGAACAUCAGUGGCGAAAGCGACUUCCUGGACCAAUACUGACGCUCAUGUGCGAAAGCGUGGGGAGCAAACAGG
rnacentral:rRNA from 1 species